rnacentral:rRNA from 1 species
GGGUGAAAAGCCCGCUCGCCGGAAGACCAAGGGUUCCUGUCCAACGUUAAUCGGGGCAGGGUGAGUCGACCCCUAAGGCGAGGCCGAAAGGCGUAGUCGAUGGGAAACAGGUUAAUAUUCCUGUACUUGGUGUUACUGCGAAGGGGGGACGGAGAAGGCUAUGUUAGCCGGGCGACGGUUGUCCCGGUUUAAGCAUGUAGGCUGGUUGUCCAGGCAAAUCCGGAUAAUCAAGGCUGAGGUGUGAUGACGAGGCACUACGGUGCUGAAGUAACAAAUGCCCUGCUUCCAGGAAAAGCCUCUAAGCAUCAGGUAACAUUAAAUCGUACCCCAAACCGACACAGGUGGUCAGGUAGAGAAUACCAAGGCGCUUGAGAGAACUCGGGUGAAGGAACUAGGCAAAAUGGUGCCGUAACUUCGGGAGAAGGCACGCUGGUGUGUAGGUGAAGUCCCUGCGGAUGGAGCUGAGACCAGUCGAAGAUACCAGCUGGCUGCAACUGUUUAUUAAAAACACAGCACUGUGCAAACACGAAAGUGGACGUAUACGGUGUGACGCCUGCCCGGUGCCGGAAGGUUAAUUGAUGGGGUUAUCCGUAAGGAGAAGCUCUUGAUCGAAGCCCCGGUAAACGGCGGCCGUAACUAUAACGGUCCUAAGGUAGCGAAAUUCCUUGUCGGGUAAGUUCCGACCUGCACGAAUGGCGUAAUGAUGGCCAGGCUGUCUCCACCCGAGACUCAGUGAAAUUGAACUCGCUGUGAAGAUGCAGUGUACCCGCGGCAAGACGGAAAGACCCCGUGAACCUUUACUAUAGCUUGACACUGAACAUUGAGCCUUGAUGUGUAGGAUAGGUGGGAGGCUUUGAAGCGUGGACGCCAGUCUGCGUGGAGCCAACCUUGAAAUACCACCCUUUAAUGUUUGAUGUUCUAACGUUGGCCCCUUACCGGGGUUGCGGACAGUGUCUGGUGGGUAGUUUGACUGGGGCGGUCUCCUCCCAAAGCGUAACGGAGGAGCACGAAGGUUAGCUAAUCCUGGUCGGACAUCAGGAGGUUAGUGCAAUGGCAUAAGCUAGCUUGACUGCGAGCGUGACGGCGCGAGCAGGUGCGAAAGCAGGUCAUAGUGAUCCGGUGGUUCUGAAUGGAAGGGCCAUCGCUCAACGGAUAAAAGGUACUCCGGGGAUAACAGGCUGAUACCGCCCAAGAGUUCAUAUCGACGGCGGUGUUUGGCACCUCGAUGUCGGCUCAUCACAUCCUGGGGCUGAAGUAGGUCCCAAGGGUAUGGCUGUUCGCCAUUUAAAGUGGUACGCGAGCUGGGUUUAGAACGUCGUGAGACAGUUCGGUCCCUAUCUGCCGUGGGCGCUGGAGAAUUGAGGGGGGCUGCUCCUAGUACGAGAGGACCGGAGUGGACGCAUCACUGGUGUUCGGGUUGUCAUGCCAAUGGCACUGCCCGGUAGCUAAAUGCGGAAGAGAUAAGUGCUGAAAGCAUCUAAGCACGAAACUUGCCCCGAGAUGAGUUCUCCCUGAGACUUUAAGUCUCCUGAAGGAACGUUGAAGACGACGACGUUGAUAGGCCGGGUGUGUAAGCGCAGCGAUGCGUUGAGCUAACCGGUACUAAUGAACCGUGAGGCUUAACCUU